AAAUGCGAUAACUAGUGUGAAUUGCAGAAUUCCGUGAAUCAUCGAGUCUUUGAACGCACAUUGCGCCCCCUGGUAUUCCGGGGGCAUGCCUGUCCGAGCGUCAUUGCUGCCCAUCAAGCACGGCUUGUGUGUUGGGUCGUCGUCCCCUCUCCGGGGGGGACGGGCCCCAAAGGCAGCGGCGGCACCGCGUCCGAUCCUCGAGCGUAUGGGGCUUUGUCACCCGCUCUGUAGGCCCGGCCGGCGCUUGCCGAACGCAAAUCAAUCUUUUUCCAGGUUGACCUCGGAUCAGGUAGGGAUACCCGCUGAACUUAAGC
rnacentral:misc_RNA from 1 species